UAGCGUAUAUUAAAGUUGUUGCAGUUAAAAAGCUCGUAGUCGAAUUUCAGGGCGGCGGGCACGGUCUGCCGAUGGGUACGCACUGUGCUGGCCGCCUUUCCUGCUGGGGUCCGUGUCUGCACUUAACUGUGCGGGUACGGGGAACAGCGCGUUUACUUUGAGAAAAUCAGAGUGUUUAAGGCAGGCCAAGAUUGCUCUUGCAUGGAUUAGCAUGGGAUAAUGAAAUAGGACUUUGGUGCUAUUUUGUUGGUUUCGAGUACCGAAGUAAUGAUUAAUAGGGAUAGUCAGGGGCACUUGUAUUCCGUUGAGAGAGGUGAAAUUCUUAGACCAAUGGAAGACAAACUACUGCGAAAGCAUUUG
rnacentral:rRNA from 1 species